GAGGGUAUAGCUCAAGUGGUAGAGCACAUGCUUAGUAUGCAUGAGGUCCUGGUUUCAAUCCCCAGUACCUCCU
rnacentral:tRNA from 1 species